GACAGAGGGUGCAAACGUUGUUCGGAAUUACUGGGCGUAAAGCGCGUGUAGGCGGCUUUGCAAGUCGGGUGUGAAAGCCCUCAGCUCAACUGAGGAAGUGCGCCCGAAACUGCAGAGCUUGAGUACCGGAGAGGAUGGCGGAAUUCCCCAAGUAGAGGUGAAAUUCGUAGAUAUGGGGAGGAACACCGGUGGCGAAGGCGGCCAUCUGGACGGAUACUGACGCUGAGAUGCGAAAGCGUGGGGAGCAAACAGG
rnacentral:rRNA from 1 species